AUGUAAAUUGUAGCAAGGUGGAAACUAGUCCAAUUCUUCUUUUUUUUUAUUAAACACUGGUAACACAGUAAUUAUAUAAAUUACUACAAAAUUCAAUGCACCACAUGAGCACAGUUUGCAUUUUUAAGUUAACUAACAAUGAAGCACACAAUUUGAAUUUUUAAGUUAAUUAACAAUGUAACACACAAUUUGAUUUUUUAAGUUAAUUAACAAUGAAGGCACACAAUUUGAUUUUUUUAAGUUAACUAACAAUGUAGCACACAAUUUGAUUUUUUAAGUUAACUAACAAUGAAGCACACAAUUUGAUUUUUAAAGUUAACUAACAAUGAAGAACACAGUUUGAAUUUUUAAGUUAAUUAACAAUGUAACACACAAUUUGAUUUUUUAAGUUAACUAACAAUGUAACACACAAUUUGAUUUUUUUAGUUAACUAACAAUGAAGCACACAAUUUGAAUUUUUAAGUUAAUUAACAAUGUAACAUUUGAUUUCUUAAGUUAACUAACAAUGAAGCACACAAUUUGAUUUUUAAAGUUAACUAACAAUGAAGCACACAAUUUGAUUUUUAAAGUUAACUAACAAUGAAGCACACAAUUUGAUUUUUUAAGUUAACUAACAAUGUAACAACAAUUUGAAUUUUUAAGUUAACUAACAAUGUAGCACACAAUUUGAUUUUUUAAGUUAAUUAACAAUGAAGCACACAAUUUGAUUUUUUAAGUUAACUAACAAUGUAGCACACAAUUUGAUUUUUUAAGUUAAUUAACAAUGAAGCACACAAUUUGAUUUUUUAAGUUAACUAACAAUGUAGCACACAAUUAGAUUUUUUAAGUUAAUUAACAAUGAAGCACACAAUUUGAAUUUUUAAGUUAAUUAACAAUGUAGCAACAAUUUGAUUUUUAAGUUAACUAACAAUGAAGGCACACAAUUUAAUUUUUUAGGUUAACUAACAAUGAAGCACACAAUUUGAAUUUUUAAGUUAAUUA
rnacentral:lncRNA from 1 species